UACGGAGGGAUGCAAGCGUUAUCCGGAAUGAUUGGGCGUAAAGCGUCCGCAGGUGGCUGUGUAAGUCUGCUGUUAAAGAGUCUAGCUCAACUAGAUACAAGCAGUGGAAACUACACAGCUAGAGUACGUUCGGGGCAGAGGGAAUUCCUGGUGUAGCGGUGAAAUGCGUAGAGAGUCAGGAAGAACACCGGUGGCGAAGGCGGCUGGCUGGACCUGACCUGACGCUGAGGCGAGCGAAGGCGUGGGGAGCGAACGGG
rnacentral:rRNA from 1 species